rnacentral:rRNA from 1 species
UACAGAGGGUGCGAGCGUUAAUCGGAAUUACUGGGCGUAAAGCGUGCGUAGAUGGCUAUCUAAGUCGGGUGUGAAAGCCCCGGGCUCAACCUGGGAAUUGCAUUCGAGACUGAAUCGCUAGGGUACGGUAGAGGGAAGCGGAAUUUCCGGUGUAGCGGUGAAAUGCGUAGAUAUCGGAAGGAACAUCAGUGGCGAAAGCGGCUUCCUGGACCAGUACCGACGUUCAGGCACGAAAGCGUGGGGAGCAAACAGG